GAUCAUGGCUCAGGACGAACGCUGGCGGCGCGCCUAACACAUGCAAGUCGAACGAGAGAGAAGGAGCUUGCUUCUUCGAUCGAGUGGCGAACGGGUGAGUAACGCGUGAGGAACCUGCCUCAAAGAGGGGGACAACAGUUGGAAACGACUGCUAAUACCGCAUAAGCCCACGGGUCGGCAUCGACCAGAGGGAAAAAGGAGUGAUCCGCUUUGAGAUGGCCUCGCGUCCGAUUAGCUAGUUGG
rnacentral:rRNA from 1 species